GUAAACAUAUGUAUGGGAUUGACUACAUGGUUUAUAACACACAUAGUUUGAUUCACUUAGUUUCAGAUGUAAAGAAUAUGGGUAUUCUACCGAAAUUCAGCGCUUACCCUUUUGAAUCUUUCUUAAGAAAAUUGAAAUCCCUUUUGAAGAAACCGAAUCAUCCACUUUCACAAGUAGUAUUGAGUUUACUCGCCAGCAUUGAUAAUAAUACUGAUUAUCCAAAUUGAGAGCUCGUUCAGAGCAGCUAUCCCGAAUUCAAAAUGAUACGAUG
rnacentral:misc_RNA from 1 species